rnacentral:rRNA from 1 species
AACGAACGCUGGCGGCAUGCCUAACACAUGCAAGUCGAACGAGAUCUUCGGGUCUAGUGGCGCACGGGUGCGUAACGCGUGGGAAUCUGCCCUUUGGUUCGGAAUCACAGUUGGAAACGACUGCUAAUACCGGAUGAUGACGAAAGUCCAAAGAUUUAUCGCCAGAGGAUGAGCCCGCGUAGGAUUAGCUAGUUGGUGUGGUAAAGGCGCACCGAGGCGACGAUCCUUAGCUGGUCUGAGAGGAUGAUCAGCCACACUGGGACUGAGACACGGCCCAGACUCCUACGGGAGGCAGCAGUGGGGAAUAUUGGACAAUGGGCGAAAGCCUGAUCCAGCAAUGCCGCGUGAGUGAUGAAGGCCUUAGGGUUGCAAAGCUCUUUUACCCGGGAUGAUAAUGACAGUACCGGGAGAAUAAGCUCCGGCUAACUCCGUGCCAGCAGCCGCCGUAA